GAGCCGCUGACGUGUCGGCGUGUGAGUCUAUGCGUUUAAUAUGAAAGGAAACCAAAAAAACGACGUUCGUGUUUUCUCUCUCUUCCUCCUCUCUUUCUCUCCCAAUGCAAAAACAGAGGAGAUUUGUGAUCAUUUCUCGAUCAUCAUCAUCCGCCGUCUCGAUCAUCAAACAAUAAAUUAGGUUUAGAUUAAAGCUUUCCCCACUAUCAAUUUCUCCAUGAAAUUGGAAAACUUGCUUCGGGUGGUGUUUUGUUGUCUGUGUUAAUCCUCCAAUUUUGUGUGUGUAGAUUUGCGCAAUUAGUUGUCAUAAUUAGGGUUUUCGUUUUGCUGUUUCUGGGGUUCCUUAAGGUUUCAUGGAAUUUUUGUGUGUAGAUAUGUUUGUGAGGUGGGAAUUUUAAGUUUACUAUUUGCAAAUUGAUCUUGUGUAGCUUAGGUUGAAGAUGAUCAAACUGAUUUUUGAAACUAGCUCAAACUAGUUUGGAGAUGAUACUCUUUGAUAUCAUCACGCAAGAUGCUAUUUUUCUCUCUUGGGUGUUCCAUCAUUCUAGAUCAUGCCUUGAUGGAGUAAUCGAAAGGUAGUUUUUGUUUGAUUCUAAACCAUGAGUGCUUUAUAUGUAUGAACCUAUGUAUAAAACAUUGUGGUAAAACGUGGAAACUAACUUAGAAGCGGAGAUACGAUAACUUGCCUAGUUGUAUGAUAAGUACUUGAUUGUAAUGUUCUAGGUGUAUUUGAUUCAGUUUAUAAACCUUAGAAGCAUAUACUGAGUUUAAUGAUGUUGCUGCUCUUGAAUUAAGGUCUUUGUUUCUGUU
rnacentral:lncRNA from 1 species